rnacentral:rRNA from 1 species
GUGCCAGCAGCCGCGGUAAGACGAACCGUGCGAACGUUGUUCGGAAUCACUGGGCUUAAAGGGCGCGUAGGCGGCCGAGCGGGUCGUGGGUGAAAUCCCCCAGCUUAACUGGGGAAGUGCUUACGAUACCACUGCGGCUGGAGGAAGGCAGGGGCACUUGGAACUGUCGGUGGAGCGGUGAAAUGCGUUGAUAUCGACAGGAACGCCGGUGGCGAAAGCGGAGUGCUGGUCCUUUUCUGACGCUGAGGCGCGAAAGCCAGGGGAGCAAACGGGAUUAGAAACCCUCGUAGUCC